AACGAACGUUAGCGGCGCGCUUAACACAUGCAAGUCGUGCGAGAAGGGGCUUCGGCCCCGGUACAGCGGCGCACGGGUGAGUAACACGUAGGUAAUCUGCCCCCAGGUGGUGGAUAACCUUCCGAAAGGAGGGCUAAUACAGCAUAAGACCACGGGUUCGAAAGGACUUGAGGUCAAAGCCGGCCUCUUUACAAAAGCUGGCGCCAGGGGAUGAGGCUGCGGCCCAUCAGGUAGUUGGUAGGGUAAUGGCCUACCAAGCCUAAGACGGGUAGCUGGUCUGAGAGGAGGAGCAGCAACACUGGAACUGAGACACGGUCCAGACUCCUACGGGAGGCAGCAGUGGGGAAUCUUGCGCAAUGGGCGAAAGCCUGACGCAGCGACGCCGCGUGAGUGAUGAAGGCCCUCGGGUUGUAAAGCUCUGUGGAGGGGGACGAAUAAGUGUUGGCUAAUAUCCAGCAUGAUGACGGUACCCCUUUAGCAAGCACCGGCUAACUCUGUGCCAGCCGCCGCGGUAAUAC
rnacentral:rRNA from 1 species